rnacentral:rRNA from 1 species
UGGGGAGUACGAUCGCAAAGAGUUAAACUCAAAGGAAUUGACGGGGCCCCGCACAAGCAGCGGAGCAUGCGGCUUAAUUCGACGCAACGCGAAGAACCUUACCAAGGCUUGACAUAUACAGGAAUAUGGCAGAGAUGUCAUAGCCGCAAGGUCUGUAUACAGGUGGUGCAUGGUUGUCGUCAGCUCGUGUCGUGAGAUGUUGGGUUAAGUCCCGCAACGAGCGCAACCCUCGUUCUGUGUUGCCAGCAUUUAGUUGGGGACUCACAGGAGACUGCCGGGGUUAACUCGGAGGAAGGUGGGGAUGACGUCAAAUCAUCAUGCCCCUUAUGUCUUGGGCUGCACGCAUGCUACAAUGGCUGGUACAAACGGCUGCAAUACCGCAAGGUGGAGCGAAUCCGAGAAAGCCAGUCUCAGUUCGGAUUGGGGUCUGCAACUCGACCCCAUGAAGUCGGAGUCGCUAGUAAUCGUAGAUCAGCAACGCUACGGUGAAUACGUUCCCGGGGCUUGUACACACCGCCCGUCACGUCACGAAAGUCGGUAACACC